GACAUAGGUCGCGAACGUUAUCCGGAAUUACUGGGCGUAAAGGGUUCGUAGGUGGCUCGCUAAGCCAGACGUGAAAUCCCUCAGCUUAACUGGGGAACUGCGUCUGGGACUGGCGAGCUCGAGUGCGGGAGAGGAAUGCGGAAUUCCAGGUGUAGCGGUGAAAUGCGUAGAUAUCUGGAGGAACACCGGUGGCGAAGGCGGCAUUCUGGACUGCAACUGACACUGAGGAACGAAAGCCAGGGGAGCAAACGGG
rnacentral:rRNA from 1 species